rnacentral:rRNA from 1 species
UACAGAGGGCUCAAGCGUUGUUCGGAUUCAUUGGGCGUAAAGGGUGCGUAGGUGGGCAGUUAAGUCAGUGGUGAAAUCUCCGGGCUUAACCCGGAAACUGCCAUUGAUACUAUCUGUCUUGAAUAUCGUGGAGGUAAGCGGAAUAUGUCAUGUAGCGGUGAAAUGCUUAGAUAUGACAUAGAACACCAAUUGCGAAGGCAGCUUACUACCCGAAUAUUGACACUGAGGCACGAAAGCGUGGGGAUCAAACAGG